rnacentral:rRNA from 1 species
UACAGAGGUCCCAAGCGUUGUUCGGAUUCACUGGGCGUAAAGGGCUCGUAGGUGGCCAACUAAGUCAGACGUGAAAUCCCUCGGCUUAACCGGGGAACUGCGUCUGAUACUGGAUGGCUAGAGUUUGGGAGAGGGAUGCGGAAUUCCAGGUGUAGCGGUGAAAUGCGUAGAUAUCUGGAGGAACACCGGUGGCGAAGGCGGCAUCCUGGACCAACACUGACGCUGAGGAGCGAAGGCCAGGGGAGCAAACGGG